rnacentral:misc_RNA from 1 species
GGUAACAUGACCAAUCGUCAGCUGGCGAUAAGAAUUCAGGCUUGGAAUAUGCGGAGGCCAGGUCGACACCGAAGGUGGAGGCGAGGAAGAUAGCAUCAGGGCAGCCAGAGAAGGGAUCGACGGGAGAUCGAACGUGGGGGGCGGAGAAGGAAUAGGAAUGGGCGUCGAGGUCGCAAUCAACGCAGAGGGCGAGAUCGUCAGCGGCGCAGCGGGAGGAGGCCGGAGCGGCGGCGCAGUUGUCACAGAUCGGGGCUCGGGAGUGCUUACCGGAGAGGGGAUUGGCGGCAUGGACGUCACGGUCGCAGGAGAGGCAGAGGCGCGCGGCGUCCGCGCGGCAGUAGACAGCGGCGGCGGCCGC